rnacentral:snoRNA from 2 species
CCCCUCUUAGGAUCGCAUCUGGAGAGUUUCCAGUACUCUACCAGUCUCGGCUAUGGGAGGGAGAGUCAAUCAGAGGCCUGUCCAUUCCGUUCCUAGCUUGGGCAGUGGCUAGCGAGUGGAAGGCAAUCUGCAGCAGCG